UAUUGUAAAAACAAAACAUACCCAAAGUCUGGCUUCUGCAGAGGUGUCCCUGAUGCCAAGAUUUGCAUUUUUGACCUGGGACAGAAGAAAGCAAAAAUGGAUGAGUAUCCACUCUGAGGCCACAUGGUGUCAGAUGAAUAUGAGCAGUUCUUCUCUGAAGUCCUGGAGGAUGCCCACAUUUGGGCCAACAGAUACAUGAUAAAAACUUGCAGCAAAAUUGGCUUUCAUAUCCAAGUGUGGUUCUACUCCUUCCAAGUCAUGCAGAACAGUAAGAUGUUGUCCUGCGCUAGAGCUGACAGGCUCCAGAUGGGUAUGAAAGAUGCCUUUGGAAAGCCUCAGGGCACUGUGGCCAGGGUUCGCAUGAGCCAAUUCACAUGUCCAUUCACUCCAAACUGCAGAACAAGGAGCAUGUGACUGAGGCCUUAUACAGGGCCAAGUUCAAGUCGCCUCACCAGCAAAUGAUUCACAUCUCAAAGAAGUGGGGCUUUACCAAGUUCAAGUCAGAUGAAUUUGAAGGCAUGGUGGCUGAGAAGCAGCUCAUCCCAGAUGGCUGUAGGGUCAAAUGUCAUUGUGGGUUUUGCCAUUAAAAGUAAUUUCUUUUGCACCGCCCUAAUACAUCCUCAACUGUGGCCUCCUGGACCAGUGGCAGAUGCUACAUUCAUGA
rnacentral:lncRNA from 1 species